AUUGAACGCUGGCGGCAUGCCUUACACAUGCAAGUCGAACGGCAGCACGGGAGCAAUCCUGGUGGCGAGUGGCGAACGGGUGAGUAAUAGAUCGGAACGUGCCCAGGCGUGGGGGAUAACGCAGCGAAAGCUGUGCUAAUACCGCAUACGAUCUAAGGAUGAAAGCGGGGGAACGCAAGACCUCGCGCGAUUGGAGCAGCGGAUAUCAGAGUAGCUAGUUGGUGGGGUAAAGGCCCACCAAGGCGACGAUCUGUAGCGGGUCUGAGAGGACGACCAGCCACACUGGAACUGAGACACGGUCCAGACUCCUACGGGAGGCAGCAGUGGGGAAUUUUGGACAAUGGGCGCAAGCCUGAUCCAGCAAUGCCGCGUGCAGGAUGAAGGCCUUCGGGUUGUAAACUGCUUUUGUACGGAACGAAACGCCCCUUUCUAAUACAGGGGGCUAAUGACGGUACCGUAAGAAUAAGCACCGGCUAACUACGUGCCAGCAGCCGCAGUAA
rnacentral:rRNA from 1 species